UGGGGGAUAUUGCACAAUGGGCGAAAGCCUGAUGCAGCGACGCCGCGUGGGGGAUGAAGGCUUUCGGGUUGUAAACCUCUUUCGCUAUCGAACAAGGCCCGCUUAGGGUGGGUUGAGGGUAGGUGGAGAAGAAGCGCCGGCUAACUACGUGCCAGCAGCCGCGGUAAUACGUAGGGUGCGAGCGUUGUCCGGAAUUAUUGGGCGUAAAGGGCUUGUAGGCGGCUUGUUGCGCCUGCUGUGAAAACGCGGGGCUUAACUUCGCGCGUGCAGUGGGUACGGGCAGGCUUGAGUGUGGUAGUGGUGACUGGAAUUCCAGGUGUAGCGGUGGAAUGCGCAGAUAUCUGGAGGAACACCGAUGGCGAAGGCAGGUCACUGGGCCAUUACUGACGCUGAGGAGCGAAAGCAUGGGUAGCGAACAGG
rnacentral:rRNA from 1 species